rnacentral:tRNA from 1 species
GCUCCGUUAGUCUAGCCCGGUCAAGGAUUCGGCCCUUUCGAGGCUGAGACCCGGGUUCAAAUCCCGGACGGAGCA